rfam:Gossypium hirsutum cultivar TM-1 unplaced genomic scaffold scaffold445.1, whole genome shotgun sequence
AAUUAAAAUUUUCAUCAAUUUCCACUGUUAAGAACAGGUAUGGUUACACGUGGUGUGUCAUGUGUACUUCAUGACAACGUAUAAAGACCAGCUUUUAACUGUAAAAAUUCAUAAAACUUUAAAUA